GACGAACGCUGGCGGCGUGCUUAACACAUGCAAGUCGAACGGAAAGGCCUGCUUUCCCUUGUGGAUUGCGGGUACUCGAGUGGCGAACGGGUGAGUAACACGUGAGUGAUCUGCCCCCAACUUGGGUAUAAGCCUGGGAAACUGGGUCUAAUUCCCGAUAGGACUGCAGGGUGGUGCCUGUGGUGGAAAACGAUUUUCUAGUGGUUGGGGAUGAGCUCGCGGCCUAUCAGCUUGUUGGUGGGGUAAUGGCCUACCAAGGCGGCGACGGGUAGCCGGCCUGAGAGGGUGGACGGCCACAGUGGGACUGAGAUACGGCCCAGACUCCUACGGGAGGCAGAAGUGGGGAAGAUUACACAAUGGGCGGAAGCCUGAUGCAGCGACGCCGCGUGGGGGAUGAAGGCCUUCGGGUUGUAAACUCCUUUCGACCGCGAGGAAGCCACCUGGUUGGAAGGGUGGUGACGGUAGUGGUAGAAGAAGCACCGGCUAACUACGUG
rnacentral:rRNA from 1 species